rnacentral:rRNA from 1 species
GAUGAACGCUGGCGGCGUGCCUAAUACAUGCAAGUCGAACGAACGGACGAUACGCGUGCUUUUCUGAUGUUAGCGGCGGACGGGUGGGUAACACGUGGAUAACCUACCUAUAAGUCUUGGAUAAUUUCGUGAAACCGGAUCUAAUACCGGAGAAUAUCUUGAACCGCAGGGUUCAAGAGUUAUAGACGGUCUUGCUGUAUCUUAUAGAUGGAUCCGCGCUGCAUUAGCUAGUUGGUAAGGUCACGGCUUACCAAGGCAACGAUGCAUAGCCGACCUGAGAGAGUGAUCGGCCACACGAGAACUGAGACACGGUCCAGACUCCUACGGGAGGCACCAGUAGGGAAUCUUCCGCAGUGGGCGAAAGCCUGACGGAGCAACGCCGCGUGAGUGAUGGAGGUCUUCGGAUCGUAAAACUCUGUUAUUAGGGAAGAACAGAUGUGUAAGUACCUGUACAGAUCUUGACGGUACCUAAUCAGAAAGCCACGGCUAACUACGUG